UUUUAAUUCACAUUUACAAGAUACUUAUUUCACUUCACCUGAUCCCCCAGAGUAGGUUGCUCCAUUUCACUAAGGAACAAGAAUAACGCCGUCGACGCGGGCUGCGUUCGCCAAAUCCCCCCUUGUGGGUAGGAACCAGUGUUUGGGCACCUUGAUGCGAGUGAAUAUGCGCCAAGCACAACAAGGUCAUCAUCAUCAGCAAGAACAAGAACGAGCUUGACUCUGAACCAGCUAAGAGGGCACCUCGCAUUAACGCCCGAGUGGAGAGGGAGCGACUUUCUAACGCCAUACUUUUGAGCUGCAGCAUUCCUCCGCGCAUUCCGGUUGGAAUGCGAGCUUCUCAAGACAGCAGCAGCAGCCUCCUCGGCAACUGUCCUUUUGGUCCCGCAGCCCCUGCAUCACAGGUGAAAAGCCGGAGCACGAAGCUGCCCGUGGCCCAUGAUGAGCAUGGCUCGCAAUACUUGGGUACCUCGUCUAUUACGGCCGCGACGGCGAAGAGGCACUGUUUUCGAGAAGCAAAGCUUGGUGUACGAACGGGACCAGGACCCCGGACUAAACUGGCCGUGAGCGCACAAACCAACUCGCAGGGGCUAGCCACGUCGCAGGAGGAACAUCCGUCUCGGAACAGGCGUCCCCAGCCAGACCAGCGAGACCGUCCCGGCUCAAUUCAGUAUAGACUCGCUAUCCUGGGCUUGGUCUGUUUCCCAGACCAGAGACCCGGGUCGCGCGGGAGCCCCUCGCUCUGGAGUGACGACGAAUUGCUCCUGGUGAGCCUCGCCUCCGAGCAUAAGGUCCGUCCCCGAGGAAGACGCAGCUCCCCGCGCGGAUCGGAACAGCCCCACCUGCUCUCGAUCUGUGACGCGCCAUCGUGCACGAAACGCCGGUAGCACUACGGAGGCCUGCGUCUUCAGGACAGGCGUGUACUUGAGCACGACCUUCACUUCGCGGGUCUUUUGCAGGUGGUGCGCACGCGGGUGCCCAUCCCGAGCAUCUUGUCGUGAGUGCCAACGGCGAUUCGCAUGGAGAAGCGGCCCGAGCCCGAGGUGACGCUGUGCUCCGCCGUGUUCCUGUGCCUGGUCGUGUACUCAGCCUCCGCGCUGGUGCUGGCGCGCAGGGUUGCCAAGUACGCUGCGCGGAAGGCGCGUGGUUCUGCCCCACGGGAGGCUGCCUCGAGCACGCGCGCCGGCUGAGCUGAGCACGCUGUACCCGACGGCCGACCAGCGCCUGGCUUUUCACUGGCACCUCUCGGACGCGCAUAUACGAAUGCGUUAGCAUAGCCGAAGACUGGCGAGACCGGCUACGCGGGUCUCAGGUCGAAUCGGACAGGUUCUUCUUGCAGACAUGCAAGGCAUGUGCAGCCUGGCGUGAUACUUGAGCUGCGUCGUGCGUCACUUCGAUACAUGCUAUGCAUGCAUUCCAAUAUUCAUUGAGCUUUCGUAUGUUAUUUGUUAUAGGAUAAAAUAUUUUAGCCUUUCGUGGUUAGUUCGGGUAUCUUGAAUGUCGUCUUUUCUGCACUGUGACACUUAAUCGGGAAAUAACAACCCACUCAAACCUACAUCUAGCUACCCGACCUGGAGGCUCGGAAUAAAUCAGGCUGCAUGCGUGAAGUUGUACUUUCA